rnacentral:rRNA from 1 species
UACGUAGGGGGCAAGCGUUGUCCGGAAUCAUUGGGCGUAAAGAGCGUGUAGGCGGUCCGAUAAGUCCGCUCUGAAAGCCCGGGGCUCAACCCCGGGAGGCGGGCGGAUACUGUCGGGGCUAGAGUCCGGAAGAGGCAAGUGGAAUUCCUGGUGUAGCGGUGAAAUGCGCAGAUAUCAGGAGGAACACCGAUGGCGAAGGCAGCUUGCGUGGGACGGUACUGGACGCUGAGACGCGAAAGCGUGGGGAGCAAACAGG